UCCAGACUCCUACGGGAGGCAGCAGUGGGGAAUAUUGCACAAUGGGGGAAACCCUGAUGCAGCGACGCCGCGUGAGUGAAGAAGUAUUUCGGUAUGUAAAGCUCUAUCAGCAGGGAAGAAAAUGACGGUACCUGACCAAGAAGCCCCGGCUAACUACGUGCCAGCAGCCGCGGUAAUACGUAGGGGGCAAGCGUUAUCCGGAUUUACUGGGUGUAAAGGGAGCGUAGACGGCUGAGCAAGUCAGAAGUGAAAGCCCGGGGCUCAACCCCGGGACUGCUUUUGAAACUGCGGAGCUGGAGUGCAGGAGAGGUAAGCGGAAUUCCUGGUGUAGCGGUGAAAUGCGUAGAUAUCAGGAGGAACACCAGUGGCGAAGGCGGCUUACUGGACUGUAACUGACGUUGAGGCUCGAAAGCGUGGGGAGCAAACAGGAUUAGAUACCCCCGUAU
rnacentral:rRNA from 1 species